rnacentral:rRNA from 1 species
GGGGGGGGGGGGGGGGGGGGGGGGGGGGUGGGGGGCGGACGGGAGGGGCGUGCUGUUGUGGGGUGCUCGAGUGGCGAACGGGUGAGUAACACGUGAGUAACCUGCCCUUGACUUUGGGAUAACUUCAGGAAACUGGGGCUAAUACCGGAUAGGAGCGCCUGCUGCAUGGUGGGGGUUGGAAAGUUUCGGCGGUUGGGGAUGGACUCGCGGCUUAUCAGCUUGUUGGUGGGGUAGUGGCUUACCAAGGCUUUGACGGGUAGCCGGCCUGAGAGGGUGACCGGCCACAUUGGGACUGAGAUACGGCCCAGACUCCUACGGGAGGCAGCAGUGGGGAAUAUUGCACAAUGGGCGGAAGCCUGAUGCAGCAACGCCGCGUGCGGGAUGACGGCCUUCGGGUUGUAAACCGCUUUCGCCUGUGACGAAGCGUGAGUGACGGUAAUGGGUAAAGAAGCACCGGCUAACUACGUG